rnacentral:rRNA from 1 species
CAGUAGCCGCGGGAAUACGUAGGUCCCGAGCGUUGUCCGGAUUUAUUGGGCGUAAAGGGAGCGCAGGCGGUUUAGUAAAUCUGAAGUUAAAGGCAUUGGCUCAACCAAUGUAUGCUUUGGAAACUGUUAGACUUGAGUGCAGAAGGGGAGAGUGGAAUUCCAUGUGUAGCGGUGAAAUGCGUAGAUAUAUGGAGGAACACCGGUGGCGAAAGCGGCUCUCUGGUCUGUCACUGACGCUGAGGCUCGAAAGCGUGGGUAGCGAACAGGAUUAGAUACCCCGGUAGUCCCUGUCUCUUAUACA